AACGAACGCUGGCGGCAGGCCUAACACAUGCAAGUCGAGCGAGGACUUCGGUUCUAGCGGCGGACGGGUGAGUAACGCGUGGGAAUGUGCCCUUCUCUACGGAAUAGCCCUGGGAAACUGGGAGUAAUACCGUAUACGCCCUAUUGGGGAAAGAUUUAUCGGAGAAGGAUCAGCCCGCGUUGGAUUAGGUAGUUGGUGGGGUAAUGGCCUACCAAGCCGACGAUCCAUAGCUGGUUUGAGAGGAUGAUCAGCCACACUGGGACUGAGACACGGCCCAGACUCCUACGGGAGGCAGCAGUGGGGAAUCUUAGACCAUGGGGGCAACCCUGAUCUAGCCAUGCCGCGUGAGUGAUGAAGGCCUUAGGGUUGUAAAGCUCUUUCAGCUGGGAAGAUAAUGACGGUACCAGAAGAAGAAGCCCCGGCUAACUCCGUG
rnacentral:rRNA from 1 species